GCGCGCGGUGGCGCACGAGGUCGGCGCGGCGCGCUGAGCGCGCGCCGCCUCGCAUUCGGCGCGCGGCCGGCGCA
rnacentral:tRNA from 2 species